rnacentral:tRNA from 1 species
GGAAAGGUGGCUGAGUGGUUGAAGGCGCCAGUUUGGAAGACUGGUUUCGUUUCGAAACAUGGGUUCGAAUCCCAUUCUUUCC